rnacentral:rRNA from 1 species
AUUGAACGCUGGCGGCAUGCUUUACACAUGCAAGUCGAACGGCAGCGGACCUUCGGGUGCCGGCGAGUGGCGAACGGGUGAGUAAUAUAUCGGAACGUACCUUUCAGUGGGGGAUAACGUAGCGAAAGUUACGCUAAUACCGCAUAUUCUGUGAGCAGGAAAGCAGGGGAUCGCAAGACCUUGCGCUGAUUGAGCGGCCGAUAUCAGAUUAGCUAGUUGGUGAGGUAAAGGCUCACCAAGGCGACGAUCUGUAGCGGGUCUGAGAGGAUGAUCCGCCACACUGGAACUGAGACACGGUCCAGACUCCUACGGGAGGCAGCAGUGGGGAAUUUUGGACAAUGGGCGCAAGCCUGAUCCAGCCAUGCCGCGUGAGUGAAGAAGGCCUCGGUG